AGCACUUUAUACUGUGAAACUGCGAAUGGCUCAUUAAAUCAGUUAUCGUUUAUUUGAUAGUACCUUACUACAUGGAUACCUGUGGUAAUUCUAGAGCUAAUACAUGCUAAAAACCUCGACUUCGGAAGGGGUGUAUUUAUUAGAUAAAAAACCAAUGCCCUUCGGGGCUCCUUGGUGAUUCAUAAUAACUUAACGAAUCGCAUGGCCUUGCGCCGGCGAUGGUUCAUUCAAAUUUCUGCCCUAUCAACUUUCGAUGGUAGGAUAGUGGCCUACCAUGGUGGCAACGGGUAACGGGGAAUUAGGGUUCGAUUCCGGAGAGGGAGCCUGAGAAACGGCUACCACAUCCAAGGAAGGCAGCAGGCGCGCAAAUUACCCAAUCCCGACACGGGGAGGUAGUGACAAUAAAUACUGAUACGGGGCUCUUUUGGGUCUCGUAAUUGGAAUGAGUACAAUCUAAAUCCCUUAACGAGGAACAAUUGGAGGGCAAGUCUGGUGCCAGCAGCCGCGGUAAUUCCAGCUCCAAUAGCGUAUAUUAAAGUUGUUGCAGUUAAAAAGCUCGUAGUUGAACCUUGGGUCUGGCUGGCCGGUCCGCCUCACCGCGAGUACUGGUCCGGCUGGACCUUUCCUUCUGGGGAACCUCAUGGCCUUCACUGGCUGUGGGGGGAACCAGGACUUUUACUGUGAAAAAAUUAGAGUGUUCAAAGCAGGCCUUUGCUCGAAUACAUUAGCAUGGAAUAAUAGAAUAGGACGUGCGGUUCUAUUUUGUUGGUUUCUAGGACCGCCGUAAUGAUUAAUAGGGAUAGUCGGGGGCGUCAGUAUUCAGCUGUCAGAGGUGAAAUUCUUGGAUUUGCUGAAGACUAACUACUGCGAAAGCAUUCGCCAAGGAUGUUUUCAUUAAUCAGGGAACGAAAGUUAGGGGAUCGAAGACGAUCAGAUACCGUCGUAGUCUUAACCAUAAACUAUGCCGACUAGGGAUCGGGCGGUGUUUCUAUGAUGACCCGCUCGGCACCUUACGAGAAAUCAAAGUU
rnacentral:rRNA from 1 species